rnacentral:misc_RNA from 1 species
AGGGGGGUGGGUGUUGAGGGAGUCUGGGCAGUCCGUGGGGAACCCCUUUUUCGGUUCGGACUUGGGUAGCGAUCGAGGGAUGGUAUCGGAUAUCGGCACGAGGAAUGACCGACCGUCCGGCCGCCGGGAUUUUCGCCGGAAAACUUUUCCGGCGACUUUUCCGGCGAUCGGUUUUGUUGCCUUUUUCCGAGUUUUCUCAGCAGUUCUCGGACAAAAACUGCUGAAUCGUCGAGGAGAAUGGGCUUGCCUUGCGUGGGCUGCCAUUAGUUCUUCGAAGCGUUAGGGUGGCGGCGGUAUAAAAGUGUCGGAGUUUUUUCAGCAGUUCUCGGACAAAAAUUGCUGAGUGGCCGAGAAGAAUGGGCGUGUCAUGCGUGGGCUGACAUGGAUUCUUCGAGGCCUAGGGGUGGCGGUAUAUAACUUGUUCGCAUGAUAUUACCGAGAUGUCCCCACGGGCAUCUUUUCACCUCGUCGCCGAAGAGAAUGGGCGUGUCAUGGCAUGGGCUGACAUGGAUUCUCCUAGGCCGUUUGGGUGGCGGUAUAGUCGUCUUGCGCACGAAAUACCGAGAUGUCCCCAUGGGCAUCGAUUCCACCCGCCUAGGUUGGAUGGGCGUGCUUCGUCGGAAAGCAUGGAUCCGCCUAGGCUGUCCCGAGUGUGAGCGAGGUGUGAGUGUCGCCCAUGGGCAUCGACACCUUGCGGCUAGGAACUGGAACGAGACGGGUGGCAAAGAUUUCGAGUAGCACUUCAUACUACCGUGGGUUUUUUAAACCUUCCGAGUUUUGUUGAUGUUAUUCCGAGAAUUAGCAAACCGUAACGAAGAUGUUCUUGGCAACCAUCUUUUGAUGGGAGUCCGGCUGUUCGAUAGCCGGCCAAGGGUGAUGAACGAAAUGUGAACCCUUGUCUCGCCUAGGUUGGAUGGGCGUGCUUCGUUGGAAAGCAUGGAUCCGCCUAGGCUGACCCGAAGGUAUCUCGCGCUUGUACGGCUUUGGCUCGGAUUCGUCCGUCUUCUUUCUUCUUAGCCGAGUACUUCGGUAGAUUAGUUGGAACGAUUGAUGAUUUUGAGUUAAUUGAACGUUCGGCGUAUGAGUGGUGAUCGGAUAGCUAGUGUUCGUAGGCUCCAUGCUCGCGCAUCGAACUACCUACCACCUAUCCUUCUCAGUUAAUUCACGGGCGAUGUUACGCUCGAUGAUGAGUUCCGGGGCCUGUGUUUCGUACCUAAUUUGAAGGAAUUGUUGAGUUUGGUUUACACCUUUGCCCGCGGCUUCUCCUUCGUGGGGAAGUCGUGGGCACAAACAUCGGCGCUUGUUCACCUCUCGUCAUCGCAUUUGUUGCCUUGCUCGCAUUGGUGAAUGAGUUGCGGGUUGAAAUCUCGGAUGCGGAAAAGUUGUCGACGGUGACUCGAAGUGAUUCAGUCCCGCCAAAGCUCAUCCGUCCUUCGGGCAAAAGAUGACGGUCAAGACCUCGUCCUUUCUCUCUUUCCAUUGCGUUUGAGAGGAUGUGGCGGGGAAUUGCCGUGAUCGAUGAAUGCUACCUGGUUGAUCCUGCCAGUAGUCAUAUGCUUGUCUCAAAGAUUAAGCCAUGCAUGUGUAAGUAUGAACGAAUUCAGACUGUGAAACUGCGAAUGGCUCAUUAAAUCAGUUAUAGUUUGUUUGAUGGUAACUACUACUCGGAUAACCGUAGUAAUUCUAGAGCUAAUACGUGCAACAAACCCCGACUUAUGGAAGGGACGCAUUUAUUAGAUAAAAGGUCGACGCGGGCUCUGCCCGUUGCUCUGAUGAUUCAUGAUAACUCGACGGAUCGCAUGGCCUCUGUGCUGGCGACGCAUCAUUCAAAUUUCU